UACGUAGGGUGCAAGCGUUGUCCGGAUUUACUGGGUGUAAAGGGAGCGCAGGCGGGUUAGCAAGUCGUUGGUGAAAUUCUGAGGCUCAACCUCAGAACUGCCAAUGAUACUGCUGAUCUUGAGUACAGAAGAGGAAGACGGAAUUCCUGGUGUAGCGGUGAAAUGCGUAGAUAUCAGGAAGAACACCGGUGGCGAAGGCGGUCUUCUGGUCUGUAACUGACGCUCAUGCUCGAAAGCGUGGGGAGCAAACAGG
rnacentral:rRNA from 1 species